UACGGAGGGUGCAAGCGUUAUCCGGAUUUACUGGGUUUAAAGGGUGUGUAGGCGGACCAUUAAGUCAGCGGUGAAAUCUCCGGGCUCAACCCGGAAACUGCCAUUGAUACUAUUGGUCUUGAAUGUUGUUGAGGUGGGCGGAACGGGUCAUGUAGCGGUGAAAUGCAUAGAUAUGACCCGGAACACCGAUUGCGAAGGCAGCCCACUAAGCAACGAUUGACGCUGAGGCACGAAAGCGUGGGGAGCAAACAGG
rnacentral:rRNA from 1 species